UUUCUUUGAUUAGGAAAGGGAACUCCCUGACCCCUUGCGCUUCCCGAGUGAGGCAAUGCCUCGCCCUCCUUUGGCUCGCGCACAGUGCGUGCACCCACUUACCUGCGCCCACUGUCUGGCACUCCCUAGUGAGAUGAACCCGGUACCUCAAAUGGAAAUGCAGAAAUCACCGGUCUUCUGCGUUGCUCAGGCUGGGAGCUGUAGACCCGAGCUGUUCCUAUUCGGCCAUCUUGGUUCCUCCCCCGAGUAUCUGACUGUCUUCUCUCAGAUGAUUGCAUUUCAUGAUCCAGAGCUGAGUAAUCAUCUCAAUGAGAUUGGCUUCAUUCCAGAUCUCUAUGCCAUCCCUUGGUUUCUUACCAUGUUUACUCAUGUAUUUCCACUACACAAAAUUUUCCACCUCUGGGAUACCUUACUACUUGGGAAUUCCUCUUUCCCAUUCUGUAUUGGAGUAGCAAUUCUUCAGCAGCUGCGGGACCGGCUUUUGGCUAAUGGCUUUAAUGAGUGUAUUCUUCUCUUCUCCGAUUUACCAGAAAUUGACAUUGAACGCUGUGUGAGAGAAU
rnacentral:sRNA from 1 species